ACAUUAUUACAGACAAGUACUGAAAUUGGAGGAAAUCCCCAGAAAGAYUGUAAGGGAAGAAGCAGAAGGCGGGUCUGCUCUCCCUGGAUUGGAAUAAAAAGUACAAGAACAAGAGCGUGGACUCCAGUGUUCCCUCUAAAUCUGGAGGAGAUCAGAAGAACUGUAGUGCUUGCCUGCUGGAGGAUGCAUGGCUGAAAGAAGAGGAAUUUGCUGCUGCUUGACAUCUGUUAAUGAAGARUCCUGGAAGGUUCAGCAAGGUUUGUGAUGAGGUGUAAUGCACUGCCGUCUGCUGCUUCAUGUUGCACUUCAGUUGCCUGCAUGAGAACCUCUCUUCCACCUCCUYUCCUGGAGGCAGCCUAGCACAGGUCUUGGCUGCACUGCCUGAGGAGAAGUGUUCCUGCUUCCACUGCAGCUGAACUCUGUU